ACAUCGGUAGCACAGUGGUCAGUGCAGUCUGCCGGAAACAGUAAGACGCGGGUUCAAUUCCCGUUCGAUGUC
rfam:Nippostrongylus brasiliensis genome assembly, scaffold: NBR_scaffold0000057